AUCUAGUUGACGAGUCCCAAAUAAGACGAAACGCUUCCUGGAU
rfam:Schistosoma haematobium scaffold989_4, whole genome shotgun sequence.